rnacentral:rRNA from 1 species
GGCGAACGGGUGAGUAAUAUAUCGGAACGUGUCCAAUAAUGGGGGAUAACGAGUCGAAAGAUUCGCUAAUACCGCAUACGCCCUACGGGGGAAAGCAGGGGAUCGUAAGACCUUGCGUUAAUGGAGCGGCCGAUAUCUGAUUAGCUAGUUGGUGAGGUAAAGGCUCACCAAGGCGACGAUCAGUAGCUGGUUUGAGAGAACGACCAGCCACACUGGAACUGAGACACGGUCCAGACUCCUACGGGAGGCAGCAGUGGGGAAUUUUGGACAAUGGGGGCAACCCUGAUCCAGCCAUUCCGCGUGAGUGAAGAAGGCCUUCGGGUUGUAAAGCUCUUUCGCAAGGGAAGAAAACUUAUGAUCGAAUAAAUCAUGAGGUUGACGGUACCUUGAUAAGAAGCACCGGCUAACUACGUGCCAGCAGCCGCGGUAAUACGUAGGGUGCGAGCGUUAAUCGGAAUUACUGGGCGUAAAGCGUGCGCAGGCGGUUUUGUAAGUCGGAUGUGAAAUCCCCGGGCUCAACCUGGGAACUGCGUUCGAAACUGCAAGGCUAGAGUGUGUCAGAGGGGGGUAGAAUUCCACGUGUAGCAGUGAAAUGCGUAGAGAUGUGGAGGAAUACCAAUGGC